rnacentral:rRNA from 1 species
UACGUAGGGUCCGAGCGUUGUCCGGAAUUAUUGGGCGUAAAGAGCUCGUAGGCGGUCUGUUGCGUCGGUUGUGAAAACCUGGGGCUCAACUCCAGGCCUGCAAUCGAUACGGGCAGACUAGAGUUCGGUAGGGGAGACUGGAAUUCCUGGUGUAGCGGUGAAAUGCGCAGAUAUCAGGAGGAACACCGGUGGCGAAAGCGUUCUGCUAGACCUGUACUGACACUGAGGGACGAAAGCUAGGGGAGCGAAUGGG